rnacentral:rRNA from 1 species
CCUACGGGAGGCAGCAGUGGGGGAUAUUGCUCAAUGGGGGGAACCCUGAUGCAGCGACGCCGCGUGGGUGAAGGAGCGUUUCGGCGCGUAAAGCCCUAUCGUUAGGGAAGAAAAUGACGGUAUCUGACCAAGAAGCCCCGGCUAACUACGUGCCAGCAGCCGCGGUAAUACGUAGGGGGCAAGCUUUAUCCGGAUUUACUGGGCGUAAAGGGGGCGCAGACGGCAAUGCAAGACAGGUGUGAAAUCCCGGGGCGCAACCCCGGGACUGCUCUUGGAACUGCAUGGCUGGAGUACAGGAGGGGCAGGCGGAAUUCCUGGUGUAGCGGUAAAAUGCGUAGAGAGUAGGAGGAACACCGGUGGCGAAGGCGGCCUGCUAGACUGUGACUGACGUUGAGGCCCGAAGGCGUGGGGAGCAAACAGGAUUAGAUACCCGUGUAGUC